GGGUCUUACGGUCUCGUUUUUUUUUUUUUUUUUUUUUUUUACCUGUCAGUCGGAUUUUGAUGCUGGAACCGUUCCUCCGAGUCCCAGGAUUCGACAUCCCUCCGUGAAAAACGAUCCGACAAAUUUCCCCUUCGGGUCUCCAAAAAGAGACCGUUUCACGACUCAGUCGGACGGAGAAUGUCUUCAGAUUACAAACACGCGGUUUGUUUUUCGGUUCUUCAUGGAUGCGAAUGUAUUAUUUCAUCGCAAAGUCCUGCGUUUCUUCGAAAUCCAACAACACCGGAGAACAUUUUCGGGCAGGCUCAAGCACGUCAUGACGUCAUAGUCUUAACUGUGCAGCCGUCGGUGCUCGCGUCCGGUGGGCGUGUCCGUGGAAGUCCCUGCACAAAAUGAUACGCAUUUCUUCAGUCCAGUUUGGUGAAAACCUUGGCUCCCUCCAGGAACUCAAAGGCGGUGGAGAUGAGAGGAAGAGGGUACCUGUACCGUGAUCUCGUUGAGACCAAGGGGAUGAAGAUGGGCGAAUGAUCCCGGCUGCCAGUGAUUCUUCCACAUACUCCUUCAUAGCCUUGUGUUCCGGCCCUGAAAGAGACAACAACCUCCCCCGUGGAGGUGUGGUCCCAGGCAUCAAGUCAACUGCACAGUCAUAAGGUCUGUGGGGUGGAAGGGAUUUGGCAUAAUUGAUGC